rnacentral:rRNA from 1 species
AUACGGAGGGUGCAAGCGUUACGCGGAAUCACUGGGCGUAAAGCGCGCGCAGGCGGCUUGAUAAGUUGGAUGUGAAAGCCUACGGCUCAACCGUAGAACUGCAUCCAAAACUGUCAGGCUAGAGUGUGGGAGAGGAAGAUGGAAUUAGUUGUGUAGGGGUAAAAUCCGUAGAGAUAACUAGGAAUACCAAAAGCGAAGGCAAUCUUCUGGAACACUACUGACGCUGAGGCGCGAAGGCGUGGGGAGCAAACAGGAUUAGAAACCCUAGUAGUCC